GACGAACGCUGGCGGCGUGCUUAACACAUGCAAGUCGAACGGAAAGGCCCUGCUUUUGUGGGGUGCUCGAGUGGCGAACGGGUGAGUAACACGUGAGUAACCUGCCCUUGACUUUGGGAUAACUUCAGGAAACUGGGGCUAAUACCGGAUAGGAGCUCCUGCUGCAUGGUGGGGGUUGGAAAGUUUCGGCGGUUGGGGAUGGACUCGCGGCUUAUCAGCUUGUUGGUGGGGUAGUGGCUUACCAAGGCUUUGACGGGUAGCCGGCCUGAGAGGGUGACCGGCCACAUUGGGACUGAGAUACGGCCCAGACUCCUACGGGAGGCAGCAGUGGGGAAUAUUGCGCAAGGGGCGGAAGCCUGAUGCAGCAACGCCGCGUGCGGGAUGACGGCCUUCGGGUUGUAAACCGCUUUCGCCUGUGACGAAGCGGGAGUGACGGUAAUGGGUAAAGAAGCACCGGCUAACUACGUG
rnacentral:rRNA from 1 species